GGAGAACUCAAAGUCGGGGAGAUCUUCCACUCCUGGUCAUCUUCUAUUCACUGUGGACAGGUUAUCAGUACUUAACAUCUCCCAUUUUCAAUAAGAGUUUUGCUUCUGGAUUAUUUUGAAGAUAUUUCUGUGGCAUUUAUCCAUAUGCUUGUCCUUCUAUAUGUCUUCUAAAACACCAGUUCUGGAUCCUGUUUCUUUCCUGGCCAUAAUCCAUAUACACCAAUCCUUCCUUGGUUUCCAC
rnacentral:lncRNA from 1 species